CGUAGGUUGAAAACUGCGGGGAUGAGCUGUGGGUAGGGGUGAAAGGCCAAUCAAACUCCGUGAUAGCUGGUUCUCCCCGAAAUGCAUUUAGGUGCAGCGUCGCAUUAGCUUGGUGGAGGUAGAGCUACUGGUUGGUUGAGCGGGACUACAAUCUUAGCAAUGUCAGCCAAACUCCGAAUGCCAUUAAUGUGUUGUGCGGCAGUGAGACUGUGGGGGAUAAGCUUCAUAGUCGAGAGGGAAACAGCCCAGAUCGCCGGUUAAGGCCCCUAAGGGUGUGCUAAGUGGAAAAGGAUGUGGGAUCGCGAAGACAGCCAGGAGGUUGGCUUAGAAGCAGCCAUCCUUGAAAGAGUGCGUAAUAGCUCACUGGUCGAGUGGUUCUGCGCCGACAAUGUAGUGGGGCUCAAGCACACCGCCGAAGCCGCGGCAAUAAUAUUUUGUU
rnacentral:rRNA from 1 species